CUUGAAGCCCUUCGCCAUGUUGAAAUUCGUCAACAAGCCCCGUGACGUAAUGACGCACCGACAUGAGGCAUAACGCAAGUGACGUGUCCGCGCAAGCGCAUGAACGAAGCGCCGGUUUCAACGAGCCAAGUUGUAAUCGUCCCAUUGAAGCCUGAGCCGAGAUGUUUGGUCCCAAACCGACACUUCGGGACCGCCAGCACCUUUACCAGCUGAUCAUCGGCCAGCUGUUGGAUGAAUGUUACACCAACGUGUCUAACAGCCUGAUCCCAGAGGUCAAGACAUAUUCCCACGCAUCAUUCAUUUGAUGUUUUAUUUAGAACGAUGAUGGUGCAGUCAGGUGGUCCGACACAUCGACCUGGAGUUUCAGCGCCGUCUCCUGAGGCGUCUUGAGUAGGAUACUCGCUGUGUGACACCCCAUAAAGGUCCCUGUCGUGCUGCCACAUACAGCCGAGACGGGCAACCCAUUGCUACGAGCUCGGCAGACGCCUCCAUCAAAUUCUCUGGACGCAGAACGUAUGCUGGCCGAGAGUGCCAUGCCCACAGAGAUGAUGAUGAAUGAGACGGCCCAGCAGAACACGGAGAACCCGCCUGUGAUCAGAACACUGCAGGACCAUGUUUACGAGCUCACGUCUGGCAUUCCACCCCACCGAACAGAUUCGGGGUCACGUGACUACAUCCUCAAUCUGUUUGACUACCCCAAGCCCUCUGCCAAGAGGGCCGUCAAACACAUACUCGUCUGUAGGGACAGUCUGGGCCGUCAAACACAUACAGGUUAAAAGGAUUAGACCUACACAGAUCUGUGUCAUGUCACUAACAGUGAUGUGUGUUUCCUCCUCACAGGAAGCAGAGAUGCUGCGGUACAUUUCCUUCCACCCGUCAGAUACGUUUCUGUAGGUGGGGACGCAGCAUCCCAUCCUCCGCCUCGAUGUGUGUCUCUCUUGAUGUGUGUGUCUCUCUCUUGGUGUGUGUCUCUCUCUUGGUGUGUGUCUCUCUCUUGGUGUGUGUGUCUCUCUCUUGGUGUGUGUCUCUCUCUUGGUGUGUGUCUCUC